ensembl:lncRNA
AACCUGACCAGGGAGAUUCAGAACAGUCCUGAAGCUGAAACCUGACCAGGGAGAUUCAGAACAGUCCUGAAGCUGAAACCUGACCAGGGAGAUUCAGAACAGUCCUGAAGGUGAAACCUGACCAGGGAGAUUCAGAACAGUCCUGAAGCUGAAGCCUGGCUAGGGAGAUUCAGAAUUAGGGGAAUUGUGCAACACUAAACCUGGAGAUUGGCUUGGAGAGGAGAACAGGGAUGUAAAGGAGAGAGGGUGGACUAGCCUCCACUCUUAGCCUUACAAACAGAUCUGGGACCAGGCUAAGAGGGGGACCACUUCCUGUUAUGGUUCUUUACAAACAGAUCUGGGACCAGGCUAAGAGGGGGACCACUUCCUGUUAUGGUUCUUUACAAACAGAUCUGGGACCAGGCUAAGAGGGGGACCACUUCCUGUUAUGGUUCUUUACAAACAGAUCUGGGACCAGGCUAAUAGGGGGACCACUUCCUGUUAUGGUUCUUUACAAACAGAUCUGGGACCAGGCUAAGAGGGGGACCACUUCCUGUUAUGGUUCUUUACAAACAGAUCUGGGACCAGGCUAAGAGGGGGACCACUUCCUGUUAUGGUUCUUUACAAACAGAUCUGGGACCAGGCUAAGAGGGGGACCACUUCCUGUUAUGGUUCUUUACAAACAGAUCUGGGACCAGGCUAAGAGGGGACCACUUCCUGUUAUGGUUCUUUACAAACAGAUCUGGGACUAUUUUUUUAUAUGGAGUUGCCUUUUCGUUGGUGCACCUUUUUGAAUGAAACACCCUAUUCCCUAUAUAGUGCACUACUCUUGACCAGGGCCCAUAGGGUAGUAGUUCACUAUAUACAGGGCAUUUGGAAAGUAUUCAGACCCCUUGAUGUUUUACACACUUUGUUUCAUUACAGCCAUAUUAGAAAAUGGAUUUUUUUUUUUUUUAACUAUCCUUCAUCAAUCUACAUACAAUACCCCAUAGUGACAUCACAAUACCCCAUAGUGACAUCACA